CAGUGGAAGUGCAGCUCAGCAGCUCCGUUUUGGGAAGAGAGGAAUAGAAAGCAGUUUACGAGAUAAACACAGUGAACAGCCUGAUGAGGCAGGGCUGAAUCUGAGACAGUGAUUUUGGAGUGAAGUCACUGUGUGUCCUGCUCUGUUUCUCUGUGUGUGUCUGUUUGCAGGGAUCCAGCUGUGACCUGUAGGAGACAUGAGCUCCAAAAUGAGCUCCUCUGGAGAAGAACAGCACACAGAGAGAGACCAGAGUGUGAUUCAGAGAGAGAGAUCAGCCUCACCUGAAACCAGCUGUGUGUCCA